ensembl:snoRNA SNORA73 Small nucleolar RNA SNORA73 family
CCAACAUGGAUACCUUGGGAGGUCAUUCUCCAUGGGUUCUAAGAGAUGUAGGGGAGUACAGGGCUCUCCCUCGUGACGGAAAGUCCCUUUCCACAACAUUGGAGAAGUGGGUCUUUGAUCUGCACCUGCAUAUUCCUCUGGCUUCUCAAAGUCCUCUAGAAAAUGACUGAGGAGAUAAAUCAUGCAGCAAACAGUU